rnacentral:rRNA from 1 species
AACGAACGCUGGCGGCAGGCUUAACACAUGCAAGUCGAACGCCCCGCAAGGGGAGUGGCAGACGGGUGAGUAACGCGUGGGAAUCUACCCAGUUCUAUGGAACAACUGAGGGAAACUUCAGCUAAUACCGUAUACGCCCUACGGGGGAAAGAUUUAUCGGUUUCAGAUGAGCCCGCGUAAGAUUAGCUAGUUGGUGGGGUAAUGGCCUACCAAGGCGACGAUCUUUAGCUGGUCUGAGAGGAUGAUCAGCCACACUGGGACUGAGACACGGCCCAGACUCCUACGGGAGGCAGCAGUGGGGAAUAUUGGACAAUGGGCGCAAGCCUGAUCCAGCCAUGCCGCGUGAGUGAUGAAGGCCUUAGGGUUGUAAAGCUCUUUCAGUGGGGAAGAUAAUGACGGUACCCACAGAAGAAGCCCCGGCUAACUUCGUGCCAGCCGCCGCCGUAAUAC